CCAGUGCUGGGAUUACAGGCGUGAGCCACCGCGCCUGGCCAAAAUAUAUAACCUUAAGUGUUAUCAAUACUCUGGCUGACCAUCGUCAUCGUGGGACUGACUUUGGUGGAAGUCCUUGGUUACUUAUCAUUACUGUGUUUCUGAGAAGUUAUAAAUUUGCCAUCUCCCUCUGCACAACUUACCUUUGGGUUAUCAAUACUCUGGCUGACCAUCGUCAUCGUGGGACUGACUUUGGUGGAAGUCCUUGGUUACUUAUCAUUACUGUGUUUCUGAGAAGUUAUAAAUUUGCCAUCUCCCUCUGCACAACUUACCUUUGUGUGUCUUUCCUGAAGACUAUCUUCCCGUCUCAAAAUGGACAUGAUGGAUCCACGGAUGUACAGCAGAGAGCCAGGAGGUCCAACCGCCGUAGACAGGAAGGAAUUAAAAUUGUCCUGGAAGACAUCUUUACUUUAUGGAGACAGGUGGAAACCAAGGUUCGAGCUAAAAUCCGUAAGAUGAAGGUGACAACAAAAGUCAACCGUCAUGACAAAAUCAAUGGAAAGAGGAAGACCGCCAAAGAACAUCUGAGGAAACUAAGCAUGAAAGAACGUGAGCACGGAGAAAAGGAGAGGCAGGUGUCAGAGGCAGAGGAAAAUGGGAAAUUGGAUAUGAAAGAAAUACACACCUACAUGGAAAUGUUUCAACGUGCGCAAGCGUUGCGGCGGCGGGCAGAGGACUACUACAGAUGCAAAAUCACCCCUUCUGCAAGAAAGCCUCUUUGCAACCGGGUCAGAAUGGCGGCAGCGGAGCAUCGUCAUUCUUCAGGAUUGCCCUGCUGGCCCUACCUCACAGCUGAAACUUUAAAAAACAGGAUGGGCCACCAGCCACCUCCUCCAACUCAACAACAUUCUAUAACUGAUAACUCCCUGAGCCUCAAGACACCUGCGGAGUGUCUGCUCUAUCCCCUUCCACCCUCAGCGGAUGAUAAUCUCAAGACACCUCCGAGUGUCUGCUCACUCCCCUUCCACCCUCAGCUCCACCCUCAGCGGAUGAUAAUCUCAAGACACCUCCCGAGUGUGUCUGCUCACUCCCCUUCCACCCUCAGCUCCACCCUCAGCGGAUGAUAAUCUCAAGACACCUCCCAAGUGUGUCUGCUCACUCCCCUUCCACCCUCAGUGGAUGAUAAUCUGAAGAAACUAACGAAGAAUAAAUAAAUAAUAUAAAAAUAAAAUGAA
rnacentral:lncRNA from 1 species